rnacentral:rRNA from 1 species
GACGGAGGAGGCAAGCGAUAUCCGGAAUUUUUGGGCGUAAAGGAUACGUAGGCGGCUGGUCAAGUCUGGGGUCAAAGGCCACAGCUCAACUGUGGGAAGGCCCUGGAAACUGACCGGCUAGAGUGAGGUAGGGGUUGCAGGAAUUCCCGGUGCAGCGGUGAAAUGCGUAGAGAUCGGGAAGAAAACCUGAGGCGGAAGCGCGCAACUGGGCCUCAACUGACGCUGAGGUACGAAAGCUAGGGGAGCGAAUGGG